UAUGAGAGAAAAAAUGAAAUGAUUAUGGGUUUAAUGUGAUAUUUUGGCUUAUUGACUAUUUUAAUCUAUUUUAUCUUUUUGUGAAUUUUAAUCUAAAAAAAGUCAAAAAUUCACUUCCCAAACGGGCCUAUAGCGAGUCAUGAUUAUUCAUCCAAAAAAAUAGUAUUGAGUCAUGCUAUGCAUGCACUGAUUUCUAUUUAUAUUUAUAUUUAUUUAUUUAUUUAUUUUUUAAGAAAGAAAAAAAUGUUUUGAGGACAAAAGUUUUGGCUUGAUUGAUUUUUUAUUUUAGAAUUUUACCAAUUCAUAUAUGACAUAUAAGACUCAAUAACAUAUAAGACUCAUGUACAUAUUUUGUAUUUGUUGUUCUCAAUCAAAUUAUUUGAAACGUAAAUCAAACUAUAAUUAUUUUUGUCCUAAAAUUUUACAAUGAAGAAUAAUACUUAGUCAUGUUGUAGGAUGAAAUUGAAAUUUUUUUAUUAUUAAACUUUCAACUUUGAAUUAAGCACCUAAGACUUGAGCCCCGAACCUAAUUGAACGAGCUGAGAGCCAAGUCUAACCGAAGGGCGAGUCUGUUCAAUAGCCCAAAUAUAGCCCUUUGCCUUUGCAUACAGCCCUCCUCCCAAGCCUAAUUGAGCCACUGAGCCUUUAUUAGGAUCAAGGAAAGACCUACACCAAGUGCUCUCCUGUUGUUGUUUGCCGUCCCUGGACAUAGUCCUUUCAGGCUGUGGCCGUUUAGUCCAUGGUCCAUUGGAUGGUAGGUGCAAGGCCAGAAAUUGGAACACAUCAAUUCCGCUCGUUCCUGUCCUUUGCUUCAGGGCUUGUCCCUCGGUGUGGUCAGUACUCCAUACUGUCGGGCAGCAAAGCUUAUACUAAUCUUUAAACUUGAAAAUUCAAGACAAAUUUGUUAGUUACAAUUGAAAUUCAAAGUCACGUUUCACAGAACAUAUUUAGUAUUAAGUAAUGAAUUAAAUCUCUGCAGUCAUAAAAUUAAAAUCAUUUUUCGGAUCAUGAAUUGGAGGAAGUUGCAAAGAUGGGUUAUUCUAGUGAUCGCCUUGCUGGGAAUGAGGAACUCGCAGUAUGGAAUGGUACAAGAAGUGCGCUCCUACAAUGCCAGGACUUGGCAUGACUCCAGCAAGGUAUUCUUUUGGUACGACUCCAAAAGGAACUCCCGUAAGGGAUGGACGAGCUUCACAUUAAUGAAGAAGUGGAUAUGCAUGACAGUGCAAAACUUGCAAGUUGAUUUUAAAAGGUUCUUUUGCUCUGGUUUGAGCAACCUUUCACAGCCCAAGAGUACCAGAUUAGUUAUCGAACCAGUUCCUAAAGAUAACGAAGAACCAGAAGAGAAGAAUGAAGAGGACAUGUCUGACAGGAUAGGUAGAGAGAAGGCUGAGGAAGAACAGAGGUAACAAGCAUUAUUUGUGUUGUUUGGUAAUGCUUUUGUUUCUUGUUUUCUGUCUUUGUUUUCAUUUGAAGAGAUCAAAAGUGCUGCAGAGGGAGCUCCCCAUACCUCCUCUUGCUUCACUGGAGCUAAUAAAAAUACUUUGAUAAGAGUCGAUGAUGACAAGAAACGAGCUCCUAUCCUUACUAGAUCAUGAUAAUGCAAAGUAUCCACCUGACAAAAAAGUGAAAAAGGUGAGAACAAAGGAGUCAAACCGGUUGCUGACAGAAAAGCUGUUUAUGUCCUCGUGAUUAAAGACUUUGAAGAAUAUGAGCUGAAGGAGAUGCGAGCUACGAAAUUUUGGUCACAAAUUGAAGUAACCUUCAAGGAAAUGGACACUGCACGAACAGAACUCAAGUGCUUCCAAGCUUUUACAAAAUCAAGAGCAGCUAGCUAGCAUCAUCUCAUAGGAUUCCUGGGAAGAAGUUUGGAAGCAGAAGGAGCUUUUGAGUAAAAUAAGAAAUUGCAACAAAAAAUCGAGCUCUUGAGUUAGCCAAUGCCGCAGAUUGUUAACCCACUGAAUUGUUGAUAGUUAGGACUCGAAAGAGAGAUAAUAUGACACUGUAACCAAGCGAAAGUGACCAAUUGAAGUGAGUACUGAUAUUAGACUGACGUUGUGAACAUUGUUUAACAAGAUGGCUAGCUAGUUUUGUCGAGUUGGUUCACAGACAGACUGCUGUAUAAUUUGCUCAUUAUAUGGUGAUUUUCUUUCACGAUU